GCCCGAUUAGCUCAGCUGGUUAGAGCGUCGUACUAAUACUGGAAACAGUACUCAGUAAUGCGAAGGUCAACAGUUCAAUCCUGUUAUUGGGCA
rnacentral:tRNA from 2 species